UGGGGAAUUUUGGACAAUGGGGGAAACCCUGAUCCAGCCAUCCCGCGUGUGCGAUGAAGGCCAUCGGGUUGUAAAGCACUUUUGGCAGGAAAGAAACGUCAUGGGCUAAUACCCCGUGAAACUGACGGUACCUGCAGAAUAAGCACCGGCUAACUACGUGCCAGCAGCCGCGGUAAUACGUAGGGUGCAAGCGUUAAUCGGAAUUACUGGGCGUAAAGCGUGCGCAGGCGGUUCGGAAAGAAAGAUGUGAAAUCCCAGAGCUCAACUUUGGAACUGCAUUUUUAACUACCGGGCUAGAGUGUGUCAGAGGGAGGUGGAAUUCCGCGUGUAGCAGUUAAAUGCGUAGAUAUGCGGAGGAACACCGAUGGCGAAGGCAGCCUCCUGGGAUAACACUGACGCUCAUGCACGAAAGCGUGGGGAGCAAACAGG
rnacentral:rRNA from 1 species